GAUUCCUUUCAGUGAGAUACACCCCUGGAGAACUCUAGUGAACCAGAGAGCACCCAAUGGCCUCUGGAUUUGCUUGCUCCUUCCUUCAUUUCAGAUUUCAGAGACCUGACAAAGCUGACAAUGCCUUGCAGAAAACAGCAGCAUGAGACCUGCCAUCCUCCUUGGACAUUGACUCUGCAUCCACCUCAUUUGUCUCACAUAGCGACUUACUGCAAUAGCAUCCUUUAAAUAAAAAAUAACUUA